GACGGAAGGUGCAAGCGUUGCUCGGAACCACUGGGCGUAAAGGGUGCGUAGGCGGCCGCGCAAGUCUGGCGUGAAAGCCCCGGGCUCAGCCCGGGAAGGGCGCUCGAAACGGCGCGGCUCGAGUGCCGGAGGGGAGAGUGGAAUUCCUGGUGUAGCGGUGAAAUGCGUAGAUAUCAGGAAGAAUACCGGUGGCGAAAGCGACUCUCUGGACGGCAACUGACGCUGAGGCACGAAAGCGUGGGGAGCAAACAGG
rnacentral:rRNA from 1 species